rnacentral:rRNA from 1 species
UACACUCCUGCGGGAGGCAGCAGUGGGGAAUUUUGGACAAUGGGCGAAAGCCUGAUCCAGCCAUGCCGCGUGCAGGAUGAAGGCCUUCGGGUUGUAAACUGCUUUUGUACGGAACGAAACGGCCUUUUCUAAUAAAGAGGGCUAAUGACGGUACCGUAAGAAUAAGCACCGGCUAACUACGUGCCAGCAGCCGCGGUAAUACGUAGGGUGCAAGCGUUAAUCGGAAUUACUGGGCGUAAAGCGUGCGCAGGCGGUUAUGUAAGACAGUUGUGAAAUCCCCGGGCUCAACCUGGGAACUGCAUCUGUGACUGCAUAGCUAGAGUACGGUAGAGGGGGAUGGAAUUCCGCGUGUAGCAGUGAAAUGCGUAGAUAUGCGGAGGAACACCGAUGGCGAAGGCAAUCCCCUGGACCUGUACUGACGCUCAUGCACGAAAGCGUGGGGAGCAAACAGGAUUAGAAACCCUAGGUCCCAUG